AAAUUAAGCAAUCAGCUGAAGGAACGCAAAAAGUUCCUGGACUCUCGGAGGUGCCUGUGUACAAGACAUAUGAAGUAUGGGAACUGCUCAAAAGCGGGAGUCGUGUCAGAUCUGUUGGAUCUACCAAUGCCAAUGAGCUAAGUAGCCAAUCUCACUGCUUAUUGAGAGUGACAGUUCGUGGGGAGAAUUUGGUGAAUGGACAGUUCGUGGUUAUUUAAUUUGGUGGGAAGUGAACAUGUGGAGAAGAUUGAAGGAAUCCGAAUUCAUAAAUAAAUCACUUUCAGCUUUAGGAGAUGUGAUUUCAGCUCUUGCAUCAAAGACUUCUCACAUUCCUUACAGGAACUCAAAGCUUACCCAUAUUCUUCAGAGCUCUCUAGGAGGUGAUUGUAUGACAUUGAUUUUCAUCGGAUUUGGGAGAAAUAAUUUGUUCCCUGAAUUUUGCAUGCAGAGUGAGAGGUGUUGAAUAUGACCAGCUAGAAAACAACCUGAUGUCACUGAGCUAUUCAAGUACAAACAACUGACUGAGAAAGCAAAACAUGAUGAGAAAGAAACCAAAAAGUUGCAGGAUAAUCUUCAGUCUGUGCAACUCCGUCUUUCUGCAAGAGAACACAUAUGUAGAACUCUACAAGAAAAGGUGCCUAACUACAAUAUCGGAAAAAAUACCUCCCUCUCAGAAGAAUCACAAAAUUUGUGUCCACUCCCAAUUUCAGCAACAUUGCCUCAAAUAAGUUCAAGAUUGUAUGUAGUGGGGAAUCCUAUAUAGUUUUCCUGAGGUUCAAACACAUCCUAUUGUUAGCUCUUUGGCUUAUAUCCUAUUGAGAUUAUUAGAUACUCUUUCUUUGGGACAAAGGAGACAUUUGGUUCUACUCCAUACUGGCUUUUAUGGCUCAGGUAUAGCAUCUCAGUGAAAUUGCUAUGAUCUAUAAUGCAUUACCUUAUAUGAAGGAGUCUGAAAAGUAUUCCAUAAGGAUGCCCAACAAAUGGAACUUUUCAUUUGAUUACUUCUAUUUUGCUUUUGUAGUGUUAGCAGCUCUAUAAUUUCAUGUAUAAUUUAGGUGGGAAAUCAUCCGUUCUUAUAUGAAGAUU